CCCUUGUCAGGUUGCUGGGUAUUGGAAACUGCCUUGAGCCGUGAAUCCAGAGGCUCACAUAACACUCAAUACCACCUAUGCAUGCCAGUUACCGCUCUUGGCUACAGAAGGGGACAAAACUGCAUACUCUUGAGGAAUUACAGAACCCGCCUUCCGUCGCAGAAUACAAAGCAGUCACAAGCUUAGCACGCC